UACGUAGGUGGCAAGCGUUGUCCGGAUUUACUGGGCGUAAAGGGCUUGUAGGCGGUCCGUUAAGUCUGGUGUGAAAUCUCCCGGCUCAACCGGGAGGGGUCAUCAGAUACUGGCGGACUAGAGACGGGUAGAGGAAAGCAGAAUUCCCGGUGUAGCGGUGAAAUGCGUAGAUAUCGGGAGGAAUACCAGUGGCGAAGGCGGCUUUCUGGGCCUGUUCUGACGCUGAGGAGCGAAAGCGUGGGGAGCAAACCGG
rnacentral:rRNA from 1 species